rnacentral:tRNA from 1 species
GGGGAGGUACCCGAGUGGCCAAAGGGGACAGACUGUAAAUCUGUUGGCAUAGCCUUCGGAGGUUCGAAUCCUCCUCUCCCCACCA